rnacentral:rRNA from 1 species
GACUAGAGUAGGGCGGGACACGUGAAAUCCUGUCUGAACAUGGGGGGACCACCCUCCAAGCCUAAAUACUCGUACAUGACCGAUAGCGAACUAAGUACCGUGAGGGAAAGGUGAAAAGCCCCCCGACGAGGGGAGUGAAACAGUACCUGAAACCGAACGCCUACAAUCAGUCGGAGCUCCCUUGAGGAGUGACGGCGUACCUUUUGUAUAAUGGGUCAUCGACUUGGUC